rnacentral:rRNA from 1 species
UACGUAGGGGGCGAGCGUUGUCCGGAUUUACUGGGCGUAAAGCGCGUGUAGGCGGCUUUGCAAGUCGGGUGUGAAAGCCCUCAGCUCAACUGAGGAAGUGCGCCCGAAACUGCAGAGCUUGAGUACCGGAGAGGAUGGCGGAAUUCCCCCAAGUAGAGGUGAAAUUCGUAGAUAUGGGGAGGAACACCGGUGGCGAAGGCGGCCAUCUGGACGGAUACUGACGCUGAGACGCGAAAGCGUGGGGAGCAAACAGG